rnacentral:tRNA from 1 species
CGGAAGUAGCUCAGUCGGUAGAGCAUCAGCCUUCCAAGCUGAGGGUCGCGGGUUCGAACCUCGUCUUCC